rnacentral:rRNA from 1 species
AGUGAACGCUGGCGGUAGGCCUAACACAUGCAAGUCGAACGGCAGCACAGUAAGAGCUUGCUCUUACGGGUGGCGAGUGGCGGACGGGUGAGGAAUACAUCGGAAUCUACUUUUUCGUGGGGGAUAACGUAGGGAAACUUACGCUAAUACCGCAUACGACCUACGGGUGAAAGCAGGGGAUCUUCGGACCUUGCGCGAUUGAAUGAGCCGAUGUCGGAUUAGCUAGUUGGCGGGGUAAAGGCCCACCAAGGCGACGAUCCGUAGCUGGUCUGAGAGGAUGAUCAGCCACACUGGAACUGAGACACGGUCCAGACUCCUACGGGAGGCAGCAGUGGGGAAUAUUGGACAAUGGGCGCAAGCCUGAUCCAGCCAUACCGCGUGAGUGAAGAAGGCCUUCGGGUUGUAAAGCCCUUUUGUUGGGAAAGAAAAACAGCAGGUUAAUACCCCGCUGUUCUGACGGUACCCAAAGAAUAAGCACCGGCUAACUUCGUG